AGUGAACGCUGGCGGUAGGCCUAACACAUGCAAGUCGAACGGCAGCACAGUAAGAUCUUGCUCUUACGGGUGGCGAGUGGCGGACGGGUGAGGAAUACAUCGGAAUCUACUUUUUCGUGGGGGAUAACGUAGGGAAACUUAAGCUAAUACCGCAUACGACCUACGGGUGAAAGCAGGGGAUCUUCGGACCUUGCGCGAUUGAAUGAGCCGAUGUCGGAUUAGCUAGUUGGCGGGGUAAAGGCCCACCAAGGCGAGGAUCCGUAGCUGGUCUGAGAGGAUGAUCAGCCACACGGGAACUGAGACACGGUCCAGACGCCUACGGGAGGGAGCAGUGGGGAAUAUUGGACAGUGGGCGCAAGCCUGAUCCAGCCAUACCGCGUGGGUGAAGAAGGCCUUCGGGUUGUAAAGCCCUUUUGUUGGGAAAGAAAAGCAGCAGGUUAAUACCCCGCUGUUCUGACGGUACCCAAAGAAUAAGCACCGGCUAACUUCGUG
rnacentral:rRNA from 1 species